rnacentral:rRNA from 1 species
GCCAGCCACCGCGGUUAUACGAGAGACCCCAGUUGAUGACUACGGCGUAAAGAGUGGUUUGGGGCGCAAAACAAAUAAAGCCAAAGACCUCCCAAGCUGUCCAACGCACCCCGGAGACACGAAGCCCUAACACGAAAGUAGCUUUACCCCCCAUCCCCGACCCCACAAAAGCUAAGAGACAAAUGGGGUUUAGAUCCCCCCUUAUGCUUACCCUUAAACUCAAAUGACACAUACAAAAAACAUCCGCCAGGGUACUACAAGCGCUAGCUUAAAACCCAAGAGACUUGACGGUGUCUCAGACCCGCCUAGAGGAG